CCUACGGGAGGCAGCAGUGAGGAAUAUUGGUCAAUGGACGAGAGUCUGAACCAGCCAAGUAGCGUGAAGGAUGACUGCCCUAUGGGUUGUAAACUUCUUUUAUAUGGGAAUAAAACGUUCCACGUGUGGGAUUUUGUAUGUACCAUAUGAAUAAGGAUCGGCUAACUCCGUGCCAGCAGCCGCGGUAAUACGGAGGAUCCGAGCGUUAUCCGGAUUUAUUGGGUUUAACGGGAGCGUAGGUGGAUUGUUAAGUCAGUUGUGAAAGUUUGGGGCUCAACCGUAAAAUUGCAGUUGAAACUGGCAGUCUUGAGUACAGUAGAGGUGGGCGGAAUUCGUGGUGUAGCGGUGAAAUGCUUAGAUAUCACGAAGAACUCCGAUUGCGAAGGCAGUUCACUGGACUGCAACUGACACUGAGGCUCGAAAGUGUGGGUAUCAAACAGGAUUAGAUACCCGAGUAGUC
rnacentral:rRNA from 1 species